UUGAACGCUGGCGGCAUGCCUUACCCCUGCAAGUCGAACGGCAGCACGGGUGCUUGCCCCUGGUGGCGAGUGGCGAACGGGUGAGUAAUACAUCGGAACAUGUCCUGUAGUGGGGGAUAGCCCGGCGAAAGCCGGAUUAAUACCGCAUACGAUCUACGGAUGAAAGCGGGGGACCUUCGGGCCUCGCGCUAUAGGGUUGGCCGAUGGCUGAUUAGCUAGUUGGUGGGGUAAAGGCCUACCAAGGCGACGAUCAGUAGCUGGUCUGAGAGGACGACCAGCCACACUGGGACUGAGACACGGCCCAGACUCCUACGGGAGGCAGCAGUGGGGAAUUUUGGACAAUGGGCGAAAGCCUGAUCCAGCAAUGCCGCGUGUGUGAAGAAGGCCUUCGGGUUGUAAAGCACUUUUGUCCGGAAAGAAAUCCUUGGCCCUAAUACGGUCGGGGGAUGACGGUACCGGAAGAAUAAGCACCGGCUAACUACGUG
rnacentral:rRNA from 1 species